ensembl:lncRNA
AUUGCACUUUCUUGUUCUUGUUCUUCUGAGUUUGUUAUUGUAAGUCGCUUUGGAUAAAAGCGUCAGCUAAAUGACAUGUAAUGUAAUGUAACAUAGAGUUCCUAACUCAACAUUUCCUUAACACGGCGUUCCACAGCACAACGUUCCCAUCACAACUUUCCCCAACACGGCGUUCCCAACACAACAUUCCCAACAAGACGUUCCCAACACAACGUUCCCCGACAAAACGUUCCUAACACAGCGUUCCCAACACAACGUUCCCACAACGACGUUCCAAACACGAUGUUCCAAAUACAACGUUCCUCAACAAGACGUUCCCAACACGACGUUCCCAAUGCGACGUUCCCAAUGCGACCUUCCCAAUGCGAUGUUCCCAACUCAACGUUCCCCUACAAGACGUUCCCACCACGACAAUCUCCAAUGUGACGUUCCCAACACAAUGUUCCCAACACACCGUUCCUCAACACAACGUUCCCAAUACAACAUUCCCCAUGGGAAGACGUUCCCACUACAACGUUCUGGAAUUCGACGUUCCCAACACAACGUUCCCAAUACAACGUUCCCAACACAACGUUCCCACCGUGACGUUUCCCAACACAACAUUCCCAACAAGAUGUUCCCAACACAACGUUCCCUGACAAAAUGUUCCUAACACAAUGUUGCCAACACGACGUUCCCAACACGACAUUCCCAAUGCGACGUUCCCAACACAACGUUCCCACCGUGACGUUCCCCAACACACCGUUCCCCAACACAACGUUCCCAAUACAACAUUCCCCAACAAGAUGUUCCCACCAUGACAUUCUCGACAUGACAUUCAACCUUCCCAACACAACGUUCCCCAACAAAACAUUCCUAACACGACCUUUCCAACACAACGUUCCCACCGUGACGUUUCCCAUUGCGACGUUCCCAACACAACCUUCUUUGAAGGCCCCACACCGCAGAGAUGUCCAACGGUUGAAUAUCCACAAUGUCUCGGUAUUAAUGGAGAGGGUCUUAAUAAACAGAUGUACAGCUG